rnacentral:tRNA from 5 species
GUGGUUGUAGCUCAGUUGGUUAGAGCGCUGGAUUGUGGUUCCAGAGGUCGCCGGUUCGAACCCGGUCUUCCACCCA